AGUUUCUCUAACUCACUGACUGAAACCAGAGUAUAGCUGCUGCAGCAGGAAACACCUAUAUUUUCUGUGUGGGAUCAGCGAGAAAUCCAGGGACUGCAUUAGAUUAGGAUGUUCUGAUCAAGCCACACAGAAACAAGAUUAAGCAUUAAACCAACAAAUGUAGCAGACAUGUUCAGUAGGAAAGCCGGCUCUGCAGCUUUAAAGCUGCAAAUUUUUCAAGCCUCCCUCCUCCAUCCCGAAGGGUAUCUCAGAUAAGGCUGCGAAAAAAACGGACGUGAGACUAAAUGUUCUCUAAGAUCAUGGAAUCGACCUGCAAUGAAAGAGCUCAUCUGAAUGAGUGGAAGGACACGGUAUCACAGUACAGGAAAGCUGCCAGUGAACGUGAGGCCAGGAGGGACGAGCGUGAGGAGAGGAGGGAUGCUCAAGAUGAGAGGUGGCAGGAUGCAACGCUAGGGCUGCUGCAGGAUCAAAUGGACAUGCUCUGGCGCCUGGUGGAGCUUCAGAAACAGCAGCAGAUUCACAUAGUGUCGCUGCAGCCUCUGUAUAACUGCCCUCCUCAAGUUCCAUAGCCUCCUCACCCAGACGUAUAAGAACGUGGGGG